rnacentral:lncRNA from 1 species
UUUAGAUUGUAAAAAGAAACUCGAAAAAACAAGCUUCCCUCCAACCUCGUUUGCAGCUUAACUCAUAAAGACCAUCCACAAGUGUUAUUCCGAUUCUGAUGGAUCGCUUUAAUUUUAUGCCUCAUCUGCUUUCGUUCCCACAGCCCAGAGCCCGGAUGUGGGUGAGUGAAGACAAGGCAUACCUCGGUGUGACCACUUUCCAGAAUUCAGAUGACGCGGUAUUUCAUCUGCUACAACGUGAAGCAUUCGCCAACGAAAUCAGUGGAGUCGAGAGGAUUUGAAGUUUGAGGGCGUCCCUGGAGGAAUAGUGCCACUGAGCCCCUCCCGGACGUGGGAUUUGUGUAGGGACUAAUCCGAGGAGAGCAGUGUUGAGUCGUGGGAAGGGACUGGUGUCUGUCUUCUGGUGCUAGGCCAGGUCUUAGGACUUCCAGCUUCCAUUGUGGUUCACUCUAAAGUGAGUUUGGCGGCCUUCCUCUGCUGCUUUGUUCCCCUCAGCCCCUGACCUCCCUCACACGUGCUCUCCGAGUGAUCCCUUCUGCCACGCCACGAUGCAGUCACACAUAGACGGGAGGCCCAGUCUUGACAUUUCCGUUCCUAGAACUAUGAACUAAAUAUCUUUUUUCGGGCUAGAGAGAUGGCUCAGCGGUAAAGAGCACUGGCUGCUCUUCCAGAGGACGUGAGUUCAAAUCCCAUCAACCGCAUGGUGGCUCACAACCAUCUAUAAUAGGAUCCAAUGCCCUCUUCUGGUGUGUCUGAAGAAAAGACAGUGUGCUCACAUACAUAAAACAAAUAAAUAUAUCUUUGAAAAUAACCUUUCUUCCUCUCCUUCUUUUAUUGUUUUUAGAAACAGAAUUUCUCUGUGUAUCCCUGGCUGUCCUGGAACUCAUUCUGGUCUCAAACACAGAGAUCCGCCUGCCUCUGCCUCCCAAGUGCUGGGAUUGAAGAUGUGCACCACCAUGGCUUAGCUAAUUUCUUUUUUCUUUUAAUAUACCCAAUCUCUGGUGUUUUAUUAUAAUGACACAAAGAGAAAAUAACAAAGCUAUAAC